GCUUUCGAUGGCUCAGAUGGAAGAGCGUCUGCCUUCUAAGCAGGAGAUCCCAGGUUCGAGUCCCGGUCGGGGUA
rnacentral:tRNA from 1 species